rnacentral:rRNA from 1 species
AUUUUGUUUAUGUCCCGCAACGAACACAACCCUCGUUUUAUUUUUCCAGCACGUAAUGUGGGAACUCAUGGGAUAAUGCCGGGGUCAACUUGGAGGAAGGUUGGGAGACGUCAAAUCAUCAUGCCCCUUAUGUUUUGGGUUUCACGCAUGCUACAAUGGCCGGUACAAAGGGUGCAAUACCGUAAGGUGGAGCGAAUCCCAAAAAGCCGGUCCCGGUUCGGAUUGAGGUCUGCAACUCGACCUCAUGAAGUCGGAGUCGCUAGUAAUCGCAGAUCAGCAACGCUGCGGUGAAUUCGUUCCCGGGUCUUGUACACACCGCCCGUCAAGUCAUGAAAGUCGGUAACACCUGAAGCCGGUGGCCCAACCCUUGUGGAGGGAGCCGUCGAAGGUGGGAUCGGUAAUUAGGAUAAGUCGUAACAAGGUA